GAGGGUAUAGCUCAGUGCCAGAGUGUGUGCUUAGCAUGCACAAGGUCCUGGGUUCAAUCCCCAGUACCUCCA
rfam:Camelus ferus unplaced genomic scaffold scaffold823, whole genome shotgun sequence.